rnacentral:rRNA from 1 species
UACGUAGGGUGCAAGCGUUGUCCGGAAUUAUUGGGCGUAAAGAGCUCGUAGGCGGCUUGUCGCGUCGACUGUGAAAUCCCGCGGCUCAACUGCGGGUCUGCAGUCGAUACGGGCAGGCUAGAGUUCGGUAGGGGAGACUGGAAUUCCUGGUGUAGCGAUGAAAUGUGCAGAUAUCAGGAGGAACACCGGUGGCGAAGGCGGGUCUCUGGGCCGAUACUGACGCUGAGGAGCGAAAGCGUGGGGAGCGAACAGG